AUUGAACGCUGGCGGCAGGCCUAACACAUGCAAGUCGAGCGGAGCGGCGGACGGGUGAGUAAUGCCCAGGAAUCUGCCCGGUAGCGGGGGAUAACGUCCGGAAAUGGGCGCUAAUACCGCAUACUAUUAGAUGAGCCUAGGUCGGAUUAGCUUGUUGGUGGGGUAAAUGGCUACCAAGGCGACGAUCCGUAACCGGUCUGAGAGGAUGAUCAGUCACACUGGAACGGAGACACGGUCCAGACUCCUACGGGAGGCAGCAGUGGGGAAUAUUGGACAAUGGGCGAAAGCCUGAUGCAGCCAUGCAGCGUGUGUGAAGAAGGUCUUCGGGUUGUAAAGCACGUUAGGUUGGGAGGCGUUACCAACAGAAUAAGCACCGGCUAACUUCGUGCCAGCAGCCGCGGUAAUAC
rnacentral:rRNA from 1 species